rnacentral:rRNA from 1 species
CCUACGGGGGGCUGCAGUGGGGAAUAUUGGACAAUGGGGGGAACCCUGAUCCAGCCAUGCCGCGUGUGUGAAGAAGGCCCUCGGGUUGUAAAGCACUUUCAGUGAGGAAGAACGCCUGGUGGUUAAUACCCAUCAGGAAAGACAUCACUCACAGAAGAAGCACCGGCUAACUCCGUGCCAGCAGCCGCGGUAAUACGGAGGGUGCGAGCGUUAAUCGGAAUUACUGGGCGUAAAGCGCGCGUAGGUGGCUUGAUAAGCCGGUUGUGAAAGCCCCGGGCUCAACCUGGGAACGGCAUCCGGAACUGUCAAGCUGGAGUGCAGGAGAGGAAGGUGGAAUUCCCGGUGUAGCGGUGAAAUGCGUAGAGAUCGGGAGGAAUACCAGUGGCGAAGGCGGCCUUCUGGACUGACACUGACACUGAGGUGCGAAAGCGUGGGUAGCAAACAGGAUUAGAUACCCGGGUAGUC